rnacentral:misc_RNA from 1 species
CAAUCGAGAUGCUGACCGAGA